GUGCAUUUCUGUUUGUGAGCUGAGCAAUUAUCGAAAAUAGAUUCUCUACGUUCACAAGUUAGGUGUGAUCUUUUGUUUUUUUAACUAUGUGCAUUUCUGUUUGUGAGCUGAGCAAUUAUCGAAAAUAGAUUCUCUAAGUUCACAAGUUAGGUGUGAUGCUGUGUAUACACCACUCUCUUCUGACUUAUAUUGUUGUUAGGUAUUUGCACUUUGCCUAUCAGUACUCGAUCACAGAAUAUUGUAUUAUUCAUGAUUUAUGUUUUAUCCUUUAUUUGUUUAGAGAAAUCUAUGCCAAAGCUCUAUUUGUUUCCUGCC
rnacentral:lncRNA from 1 species